rnacentral:rRNA from 1 species
AUUGAACGCUGGCGGCAGGCCUAACACAUGCAAGUCGAACGAGUGGCGGACGGGUGAGUAAUGCUUGGGAAACUACCUGAUGGAGGGGGAUAACUACUGGAAACUGUAGCUAAUACCGCAUACCAUAAGAUGUGCCCAGGUGGGAUUAGGUGGUUGGUGGGGUAAAGGCUCACCAAGCCGACGAUCCCUAGAUGGUCUGAGAGGAUGACAAGCCAAACUGGAACGGGGCUACGGCCCGGCUCCCUACGGGAGGCAGCAGUGGGGAUUAUUGCGCAAUGGGGGCAAUCCUGACGCAUCCAUGCCGCGUGAAUGAAGAAGGUCUUCGGGUUGUAAAGUUCUUUCGGUAGCGAGGCGGUACCUACAGAAGAAGCACCGGCUAACUCCGUGCCAGCCGCCGCGGUAAUUC